rnacentral:rRNA from 1 species
CCUACGGGGGGCAGCAGUGGGGAAUAUUGGACAAUGGGGGCAACCCUGAUCCAGCCAUGCCGCGUGUGUGAAGAAGGCCCUCGGGUUGUAAAGCACUUUCAGUGAGGAAGAACGCCUGGUGGUUAAUACCCAUCAGGAAAGACAUCACUCACAGAAGAAGCACCGGCUAACUCCGUGCCAGCAGCCGCGGUAAUACGGAGGGUGCGAGCGUUAAUCGGAAUUACUGGGCGUAAAGCGCGCGUAGGUGGCUUGAUAAGCCGGUUGUGAAAGCCCCGGGCUCAAACUGGGAACGGCAUCCGGAACUGUCAAGCUAGAGUGCAGGAGAGGAAGGUAGAAUUCCCGGUGUAGCGGUGAAAUGCGUAGAGAUCGGGAGGAAUACCAGUGGCGAAGGCGGCCUUCUGGACUGACACUGACACUGAGGUGCGAAAGCGUGGGUAGCAAACAGGAUUAGAUACCCUAGUAGUC